rnacentral:rRNA from 1 species
AUUGAACGCUGGCGGCAGGCCUAACACAUGCAAGUCGAGCGGAUGAAGGGAGCUUGCUCCUGGAUUCAGCGGCGGACGGGUGAGUAAUGCCUAGGAAUCUGCCUGGUAGUGGGGGAUAACGUCCGGAAACGGGCGCUAAUACCGCAUACGUCCUGAGGGAGAAAGUGGGGGAUCUUCGGACCUCACGCUAUCAGAUGAGCCUAGGUCGGAUUAGCUAGUUGGUGGGGUAAAGGCCUACCAAGGCGACGAUCCGUAACUGGUCUGAGAGGAUGAUCAGUCACACUGGAACUGAGACACGGUCCAGACUCCUACGGGAGGCAGCAGUGGGGAAUCUUGGGCAAUGGGCGAAAGCCUGAUCCAGCCAUGCCGCGUGUGUGAAGAAGGUCUUCGGAUUGUAAAGCACUUUAAGUUGGGAGGAAGGGCAGUAAGUUAAUCCCUUGCUGUUUUGACGUUACCAACAGAAUAAGCACCGGCUAACUUCGUG